rnacentral:rRNA from 1 species
CCUAACCGUGCAAAGGUAGCAUAAUCACUUGUCCUCUAAAUAGGGACUAGAAUGAAUGGCUAAAUGAAGACCCAACUGUCUCUUGCAGCUUACCAAUGAAACUGAUCUCUUAGUUCAAAAGCUAAGAUUUCCCCACAAGACGAGAAGACCCUGUGGAGCUAUUAAACCAAACUCACUCACAAAAUGACCCCUUGGUUUUCAGUUGGGGCGACUUCGGAGCAUAAAAAACCCUCCGACACAAAACCAAUAAACCUAGAUGGACACAUCAAUACUCCAAGACCCAGUAGUUUAUCUUCAAACUACCUGAUCAAUGAACCAAGUUACCCCAGGGAUAACAGCGCCAUCCUCUCUUAGAGUCCCUAUCGACGAGAGGGAUUACGACCUCGAUGUUGGAUCAGGACACCCCAAUAGUGCAACCGCUAUUAAUGGUUCGUUUGUUCAACGAUUAACAGUCCUACGUGAUCUGAGUUCAGACCGGA